rnacentral:rRNA from 1 species
UGGGGACUCUUGGACAAUGGGGGCAACCCUGAUCCAGCGACGCCGCGUGGGUGGUAAGGCCUUCGGGUUGUAAAGCCCUUUCACCGGGGAAGAUGAUGACAUUACCCGGAGAAGAAGCGCCGGCUAACUCCGUGCCAGCAGCCGCGGUAAGACGGAGGGCGCUAGCGUUGUUCGGAAUCACUGGGCGUAAAGGCCGCGUAGGCGGCUGUGUAAGUCGAGGGUGAAAGCCCGGGGAUCAACCCCGGAACGGCCUUCGAGACUGGGCAGCUCGAGAGCGGAAGAGGAGGGUGGAAUACCCAGUGUAGAGGUGAAAGUCGUAGAUAUUGGGUGGAACACAAGUGGCGAAAGCGGCUCUCUGGUCCGGAUCUGACGCUGAGGCGCGAAAGCGUGGGGAGCAAACAGGAUUAGAUACCCGUGUAGUCC